GCCCAAAUGCAGGAAAAUGAGUGAGUGCAGUAUGGAGAUUAGGAACAGUGAGAUGAAAGAAAGUCAUACAUGACGUGAUGAGGUCUCUCUGAAGCAGACGUUCUUGAUCAAUUCAUGAGGAGUCAGAAAGUAAUAUUACUUCAUCUGCGUUGGACAAAGUACAGCUACAAGAAAUGACAUUCAACCCCAUUGAAAAUUCAACUGGAAUUUUGUAUGUGGAGAUGGUACCCGAAGAGAUGAUGGGACUUUACACCAACACGGUUGGUUUAGAAGGUCUUGGGUCUACAGUUAAAAAACAGAAGCAGUCCUCUGACAGAUGUGCUGAAGAGACCAUCAUCCAG